GAGCCCUGCUGCUUUGGCUGCAAGACCUUCCAGCUCUAUUCCAGUCUUUGUUAAGUCAUCAUUGUAAUACAAAGAAGUGAAUUGCACUGGAUUAGUCAAGUGUCUGCAUGGAUUUCUAAGGAAUGAGAGAUCCACACAGGAUGCUGUUGUGGGCUUAAAGAAGAACCUCUGAGGAAGCAGAAAGCUAAAAGUUCGAAGGGGAAAAAAAAGGAAGAGAGAGGCUGG
rnacentral:lncRNA from 1 species